rnacentral:rRNA from 1 species
ACUGGGUCUAAUACCGGAUAGGACCACUGAUCGCAUGUUUGGUGGUGGAAAGUUUUUUCGGUGGGGGAUGGGCCCGCGGCCUAUCAGCUUGUGUGGUGGGGUGAUGGCCUACCAAGGCGGUGAACGGUAACCCGCCUGAGAAGGCUACCGGCCCACCUGGGACUGAAACACGGCCCAAACUCCUACCGGAGGCAGCCGUGGGGAAUAUUGCGCAAUGGGCGGAAGCCUGACGCAACCACGCCGCGUGGAGGAUGAAGGGCUUCCGGUUGUAAACCUUCUUCUCCCGGGACGAAGAGCAAUUGACGGUACCUGGAGAAGAAGCACCGGCCUACUACGUGCCAGCAGCCGCGGUAACACGUAAGGGUGCGAGCGUUGAUCCGGAAUUAUUGGGCGUAAAGAGCUCGUAGGCGGUGCUGUCGCGUCGGGCCGUGAAAACUUGGAGGCUUAACUCUCGAGCGCUGCGGUCGAUUACGGGCAUCACUUGAGUGUCGGCAGGGGAGACUGGAAAUUCCUGGUGUAGCGGUGAAAUGCGCAGAUAUCAGGAGGAACACCGGUGGCGAAAGGCAGGGUCUCUGGGGCGUAUACUGACGCUGAUGAGCGAAAUG